GUAGUACUGUGACAGUAAUACAGCUUGGUAUGAGAGGAUUAGAUGGUGCAGCAAUUGGUGGACAAGCCAGCGUUGCGAAGUUAAGUAUGUUGGAUAAUGGCCGAACGCCUCUUAAGCCAGAACAAGAACCCAUGCUGAUUAAACAAUAUCAUUGUGAUAUUUUUUUGUAACAAUUUUUUUACCGUCGAUGUGAAAGAGAAAUUAUAUGUGCAGACUGUGUAAAAACGAAGAGGUGUAUUAUUAAUCCCAUUAACAUAGUACUACUUUGUGUUUUUUCUUCGAAAUCUGCGCAAAAACAAAGUUAAAAUUGCAUUUUAACAACAAGAAAGAUUAUCUGUGUUUGUAGACGACUAACAUCUUCCCGGGGUGCUGUAAACAUGAAAGUAAACUUUGUUUUACGAUCUUUUGAGGUUUAUUCUCAGUGAUAUAAGAAA
rfam:Plasmodium cynomolgi strain B DNA, chromosome 6.